CCUACGGGUGGCAGCAGUGAGGAAUAUUGGUCAAUGGGCUUACGCCUGAACCAGCCAAGUCGCGUGAGGGAAGACUGCCCUAUGGGUUGUAAACCUCUUUUGUCAGGGAGCAACGCCGGCUACGUGUAGCCGGACUGAGAGCACCUGAAGAAAAAGCAUCGGCUAACUCCGUGCCAGCGGCCGCGGUAAUACGGAGGAUGCGAGCGUUAUCCGGAUGUAUUGGGGUUAAAGGGUGCGUAGGCGGAAUGCCAAGUCAGCGGUAAAAUCGCGGGGCUCAACCUCGCUCCGCCGGUGAAACUGGCGUUCUAGAGUGGGCGAGAAGUAUGCAGAAUGCGUGGUGGAGCGGUGAAAUGCAUAGAUAUCACGCAGAACUCCGAUAGCGAAGGCAGCAUACCGGCGCCCAACUGACGCUGAAGCACGAAAGCGUGGGUAGCGAACAGGAUUAGAUACCCCAGUAGUC
rnacentral:rRNA from 1 species